rnacentral:rRNA from 1 species
CCGCGUGUGUGAAGAAGGUCUUCGGAUUGUAAAGCACUUUAAGUUGGGAGGAAGGGCAGUAAGUUAAUACCUUGCUGUUUUGACGUUACCAACAGAAUAAGCACCGGCUAACUUCGUGCCAGCAGCCGCGGUAAU